rnacentral:rRNA from 1 species
GCGACCGGCCACACUGGGACUGAGACACGGCCCAGACUCCUGCGGGAGGCAGCAGUGGGGAAUAUUGCGCAAUGGGCGAAAGCCUGACGCAGCGACGCCGCGUGGGGGAUGACGGCCUUCGGGUUGUAAACCUCUUUUACCACCAACGCAGGCUCCGGGUUCUCUCGGGGUUGACGGUAGGUGGGGAAUAAGGACCGGCUAACUACGUGCCAGCAGCCGCGGUAAUACGUAGGGUCCGAGCGUUGUCCGGAAUUAUUGGGCGUAAAGAGCUCGUAGGCGGCGUGUCGCGUCUGCUGUGAAAGACCGGGGCUUAACUCCGGUUCUGCAGUGGAUACGGGCAUGCUAGAGGUAGGUAGGGGAGACUGGAAUUCCUGGUGUAGCGGUGAAAUGCGCAGAUAUCAGGAGGAACACCGGUGGCGAAGGCGGGUCUCUGGGCCUUACCUGACGCUGAGGAGCGAAAGCAUGGGGAGCGAACAGGAUUAGAUACCCUGGUAGUCCAUGCCGUAAACGUUGGGCGCUAGGUGUGGGGACUUUCCACGGUUUCCGCGCCGUAGCUAACGCAUUAAGCGCCCCGCG